CUGUGUUCUGCUGGUGUGAGAGAAGUCUUAGACUGCGUGAAGCAUGGGACCAGUGAUCCUCCUCCCAGAUCUGCUCUGAGAGACAUGCCAACGUGGUGGGGAGUGGAGCCGCCUGUGGAGCUGAGCUGCUUGCUGUGGCAUCAGGUGGCUGUGUGGCCCUGACUGCAGGGAUGGAAGGGUGAGAAGGCUGCAUGUGGGGCUCUUCUCUCUCCUUUGGGAGCCCUGCCCUCAUUGUGUGGACUCCUCAGUGGAAAAAACAGUUGCCAGGAACUCUUUUGCACUUAUGCAUUGGAGAUGGGGGCAAGAGAAACUGCGUUGAACUAUUGAACUGGGCAAAAGCAUAUGACUGAACACAGGACUGCUGCACCCACAUUCUUGAUAAAAAUUGGACACUCUGCAAAAAAUAUUUUCCUAGUAACUGUCACAAUGUACUCAGAUAAUUUUGUACAUUGUAAAAUGUAAUUAUGUCUUCCAGUCAGAAUUUUUGGAAGACAACCGGUGCAAAUUUCUGGAGACUUCUGCAGUUUGCUAAUAAAGACCCUGGGUGUUUACUGCUCCUCA
rnacentral:lncRNA from 1 species